AAUAGAUACCCGGGUAGUCCACGCCGUAAACGAUGAGUGCUAAGUGUUAGGGGGUUUCCGCCCCUUAGUGCUGCAGCUAACGCAUUAAGCACUCCGCCUGGGGAGUACGGUCGCAAGACUGAAACUCAAAGGAAUUGACGGGGGCCCGCACAAGCGGUGGAGCAUGUGGUUUAAUUCGAAGCAACGCGAAGAACCUUACCAGGUCUUGACAUCCCAUUGACCGCUAUGGAGACAUGGCUUUCCCUUCGGGGACAGUGGUGACAGGUGGUGCAUGGUUGUCGUCAGCUCGUGUCGUGAGAUGUUGGGUUAAGUCCCGCAACGAGCGCAACCCUUGUUCUUAGUUGCCAUCAUUUAGUUGGGCACUCUAAGGAGACUGCCGGUGACAAACCGGAGGAAGGUGGGGAUGACGUCAAAUCAUCAUGCCCCUUAUGACCUGGGCUACACACGUGCUACAAUGGACGGUACAAACGGUUGCCAACCCGCGAGGGGGAGCUAAUCCGAUAAAACCGUUCUCAGUUCGGAUUGUAGGCUGCAACUCGCCUAC
rnacentral:rRNA from 1 species